CAGUAAGUCAAGUCUAUUCAGUCCAGUCGCGUCAAUACUUCGAGAGGUUUUGAAUUACCACUCGAAUUUCGUCACUGAAAAUUCCGAGAAAACGCGAUAACUUUUUAUCGCUAUCGUCGCCCGUGUGGUUCGCGGUUUUUCUGUGGUGAAUUAUGAAUAGUUUAUGCUUUUGUUGAAUACAUUCGCGGUAUUACGCUGCACCACGCGGCGACCCGGAAGUACACAGCAGACGCGAACAAUUAUUUCGCGGGAAGACACGCCCACAAAAGCUCGGACGGUUUCUCUCGCGAUCCCCGAAAGCCAAAGGGUUCAACGCCGGAGUGAAAUAAAAAUUGAGAAAACGUCAGCGUUAAAUUUCAUAUAAAAUCGGGGACAUGAGGGAGCCGCUGCUGAUUGGAUUUCACGUGAUUGCCUGCGCGCAAUUUGCAUUUUCAGUUUAUUAUGACUUCACAUUUACCAAUGUACCGAUAACCGUGGCUAGGAUGCACGGAGCCUACGGGGGGAAGUUCAAAUUCCUCACUUUCUGGGAUGCGAUAGCGCAGUCUUUAUUCUUCUUCCUCUGCAUCUUGAAUGAUCUCUAUGGCUCGAGUAAAAUUCAGCCGAAGAAAGCCCCGAUUUUCAGACGAAUCAAGGAUUAUUUCCAUGCGGCGUUCAGCUUUCCACUUGCUAUGUUUGUAGGCAUCACGUUCUGGGCACUGAUGUUCGUUGACCGUGAAUUGGUGCUGCCAAAAGCCCUCGAUCCGUACUUCCCAUGGUGGUUGAAUCAUCUCAUGCAUACGAUGAUUAUGGUUUCAACAGUUAUUGAAAUGCUUGUUGCACCGAGACAGUACCCAAAGAGAUUGCACGGUCUCGGGGGACUUGGACUUCUCAUGCUCACGUAUUUAACCUGGCUCCACUUCAUCUACUACAAGAGCGGCAUUUGGGUGUACCCAGUGCUGGAGGUCCUCUCAAUACCUCUGAGGAUCGUCUUCCACAUCGUUCUAUUCGUCUUUUGUUGUUCCCUCUACUUCGUCGGAGAGUUCUUCGAUCACCUUCUCUGGGGUAACGAACACUCUAAGCAACUGAAAAGCCAUUCGAAAAACAAGUAGCCACGCCAGUUGUCACCGAAGGGUGAUGCCAACGCAGGCUCUCCUCUCAUCGGUGGUGGGUUUGGUGGUGGUACCAUCAAAAGAACAUCCAGUAAGACUAGUAAGAAGAAGAAAACCAAGUAAAUAAUUUGGCAAUUUCAACUCACCAGCGAAAUUCAGUUGUUGAAGAAUUGAAUCAAUCAAUUUUUUUUUAAUCCUAUGAUUUCAUCGAUCGAUUGGACAUCAGUGAUAGAUUGUCCAGUGAAUUUUAUAAUUUUUGUACCCAUUUUUCAUCCCGAAAUUAGUGUUAAGUGAUGACUAGGGAAAUUGUGAAAUGAAACAGUAGAGUUAACAGUAGAAUCCGUAUAGACAAUGUGAAAAACAAUAUAGAUUAAAGUUUCCUAGGGUAUUAGGAAAGAUUGUUGCCUUAGUUAGAGUAAAAAAAUGUGUUCACGGUGUAAUAAGGAAGAGAAUGUGAUGAUUUUCUACUUAAUAGGAGUCUUACUGUGCCUAUGUGAAAGCCGACAACAGUAAUAGAAUAUUAUAUUAACUAGUGCCACAGGUGUGGAUGCCCUUUUUCCUGUCAGAUUCGGUAUUCCUUUUUUCAAUUAAUUGUUUAUGUUCAUUCUCAUGGCAAAAAGCAAUGCGACAUGCAAUUUAUCAGCUGUUAAAUUUUCAUAUUACAAUAAAUGAUUUGCUCAUGUUCUAA